rnacentral:rRNA from 1 species
AAUCAACGCUGGCGGCGCGCUUAACACAUGCAAGUCGAACGAGAAAGCGGGUAACCUCGUGAGUAAAGUGGCGUACGGGUGAGUAACACGUGGAUAACCUUCCUUCAGGUGGGGAAUAACCCAGUGAAAAUUGGGCUAAUACCGCAUAACAAGACGAUGGCACAUGCUGUUGUCUUCAAAGCCGCAAGGCGCCAGUAGAGGGAUCCGCGGCCGAUUAGCUUGUUGGCGGGGUAACGGCCCACCAAGGCAAUGAUCGGUAGCCGGACUGAGAGGUUGGCCGGCCACACUGGAACUGAGACACGGUCCAGACUCCUACGGGAGGCAGCAGUGGGGAAUCUUGCGCAAUGGGCGAAAGCCUGACGCAGCAACGCCGCGUGGGGGAUGAAGCUUCUCGGAGUGUAAACCCCUUUCGACCCGGACGAAUGCCCGCAAGGGUUUGACGGUACGGGUAUAAGAAGCCCCGGCUAACUACGUGCCAGCAGCCGCGGUAAUACGUAGGUGGCAAGCGUUGUCCGGAUUUAUUGGGUUUAAAGGGUGCGUAGGCGGCCCUGUAAGUCAGUGGUGAAAUACUCCAGCUUAACUGGAGGGGUGCCAUUGAUACUGCAGGGCUUGAGUGGAGUAGAAGUAGGCGGAAUUGACGGUGUAGCGGUGAAAUGCUUAGAUAUCGUCAAGAACACCGAUAGUGAAGACAGCUUACUAUGCUUCAACUGACGCUG